rnacentral:rRNA from 1 species
AACGCUAGCUACAGGCUUAACACAUGCAAGUCGAGGGGAAACGAUAUUGGAAGCUUGCUUCCGAUAGGCGUCGACCGGCGCACGGGUGAGUAACGCGUAUCCAACCUGCCCACCACUUGGGGAUAACCUUGCGAAAGUAAGACUAAUACCCAAUGACGUCUCUAGAAGACAUCUGAAGGAGAUUAAAGAUUUAUCGGUGAUGGAUGGGGAUGCGUCUGAUUAGCUUGUUGGCGGGGUAACGGCCCACCAAGGCUACGAUCAGUAGGGGUUCUGAGAGGAAGGUCCCCCACAUUGGAACUGAGACACGGUCCAAACUCCUACGGGAGGCAGCAGUGAGGAAUAUUGGUCAAUGGACGAGAGUCUGAACCAGCCAAGUAGCGUGCAGGAUGACGGCCCUAUGGGUUGUAAACUGCUUUUAUAAGGGAAUAAAGUGAGCCUCGUGAGGCUUUUUGCAUGUACCUUAUGAAUAAGGACCGGCUAAUUCCGUGCCAGCAGCCGCGGUAAUACGGAAGGUCCGGGCGUUAUCCGGAUUUAUUGGGUUUAAAGGGAGCGUAGGCCGGAGAUUAAGCGUGUUGUGAAAUGUAGACGCUCAACGUCUGCACUGCAGCGCGAACUGGUUUCCUUGAGUACGCACAAAGUGGGCGGAAUUCGUGGUGUAGCGGUGAAAUGCUUAGAUAUCACGAAGAACUCCGAUUG